rnacentral:rRNA from 1 species
UCGGGAAUUUUGGGCAAUGGGCGAAAGCCUGACCCAGCAACGCCGCGUGAAGGAUGAAGUAUUUCGGUAUGUAAACUUCGAAAGAAUAGGAAGAAUAAAUGACGGUACUAUUUAUAAGGUCCGGCUAACUACGUGCCAGCAGCCGCGGUAAUACGUAGGGACCAAGCGUUGUUCGGAUUUACUGGGCGUAAAGCGUGCGCAGGCGGCUUUGCAAGACAGAUGUGAAAUCCCCGGGCUCAACCUGGGAACUGCAUUUGUGACUGCAAGGCUAGAGUACGGUAGAGGGGGAUGGAAUUCCGCGUGUAGCAGUGAAAUGCGUAGAUAUGCGGAGGAACACCGAUGGCGAAGGCAAUCCCCUGGACCUGUACUGACGCUCAUGCACGAAAGCGUGGGGAGCAAACAGGAUUAGAUACCCCUGUAGUCCCUGAGCGGGCUGGCAAGGCGCAU